UACGUAGGGAGCAAGCGUUGUUCGGAAUUACUGGGCAUAAAGGGCGCGUAGGCGGUCGUGACAAGUCACUUGUGAAAUCUCCGGGCUUAACUCGGAACGGUCAAGUGAUACUGUCGGACUAGAGUACAGAAGGGGCAACUGGAAUUCUCGGUGUAGCGGUGAAAUGCGUAGAUAUCGAGAGGAACACCUGCGGCGAAGGCGGGUUGCUGGGCUGAUACUGACGCUGAGGCGCGAAAGCCAGGGGAGCGAACGGG
rnacentral:rRNA from 1 species